GCCGGAGUGUUGGAAUGGCAGACAAGCUGGUCUCAAAAACCAGUGAGGGCAACCUCGUGUGGGUUCGACUCCCUCCUCCGGCA
rnacentral:tRNA from 4 species